rnacentral:rRNA from 1 species
UACGGAGGAUGCAAGCGUUAUCCGGAUUCACUGGGUUUAAAGGGUGCGUAGGCGGGUUGAUAAGUCAGUGGUGAAAUCCCCAGGCUUAACUUUGGAACUGCCAUUGAUACUAUCAGUCUUGAAUGUGUUUGAGGUGGGCGGAAUAUGUCAUGUAGCGGUGAAAUGCUUAGAUAUGACAUAGAACACCGAUUGCGAAGGCAGCUCACUAAACCAUUAUUGACGCUGAGGCACGAAAGCGUGGGGAUCAAAC